rnacentral:rRNA from 1 species
AGUUCGUAGGUGACCUGCGGAGGAUCAUUUAAUGAGUUGAACCAGGACUUGAUGCUGGUCUACGCUUGUAGACAUGUGCUCAGUUCUACUCAAUCCAUAUAACACCUGUGCACUUUCAAAGUUGUAGUCCUCCGUCAUGGGAGUCGCAUUUUGUAAUGAGAUGCUGGGACUAUGCUUUGCCCAUUAUCACAAACCAAUUUAAAGUCUUGUAGAAUGUAACUAGCCUAAGGGCCUAAUCUAAUACAACUUUUAACAACGGAUCUCUUGGCUCUCGCAUCGAUGAAGAACGCAGCGAAAUGCGAUAAGUAAUGUGAAUUGCAGAAUUCAGUGAAUCAUCGAAUCUUUGAACGCACCUUGCACUCCUUGGUAUUCCGAGGAGUAUGCCUGUUUGAGUGUCUUGUAAUCAUCAAUUCUACAUUGCUUUUUGUAAUGCUGGAUUGGACUUGGGGACUGUUGGUCUUACGACUGACUUCUCUUGAAUGCAUUAGUGGAAUCGAAUUACAAUGCUACGUGUAGUGUGAUAAUAUCUUCACUGCAUAGUUGUAAUGAAGUUCUGCUUCUAACAGUCCUUCGUUGGACAAUACUUGACCAUUUGACCUCAAAUCAGGUAGGACUACCCGCUGAACUUAAGCAUAUCAAUAAGCGGAGGA